rnacentral:rRNA from 1 species
ACGUAGGGUGCAGGCGUUAAUCGGAAUUACUGGGCGUAAAGCGUGCGCAGGCGGUUAUGCAAGACAGAUGUGAAAUCCCCGGGCUUAACCUGGGAACUGCAUUUGUGACUGCAUAGCUAGAGUACGGUAGAGGGGGAUGGAAUUCCGCGUGUAGCAGUGAAAUGCGUAGAUAUGCGGAGGAACACCGAUGGCGAAGGCAAUCCCCUGGGCCUGCACUGACGCUCAUGCACGAAAGCGUGGGGAGCAAACAGGAUUAGAUACCCCGGUAGUCCACGCCCUAAACGAUGUCAACUGGUUGUUGGGAAGGUUCCUUCUCAGUAACGUAGCUAACGCGUGAAGUUGACCGCCUGGGGAGUACGGCCGCAAGGUUG